UACGUAGGUGGCAAGCGUUGUCCGGAAUUAUUGGGCGUAAAGCGCGCGCAGGUGGUUCUUUAAGUCUGAUGUGAAAGCCCACGGCUCAACCGUGGAGGGUCAUUGGAAACUGGGGGACUUGAGUGCAGGAGAGAAGAGUGGAAUUCCACGUGUAGCGGUGAAAUGCGUAGAGAUGUGGAGGAACACCAGUGGCGAAGGCGGCGUCCUGGACUGGUACUGACGCUCAGGAGCGAAAGCGUGGGGAGCGAUCCGG
rnacentral:rRNA from 1 species